GAGGGUGAAAAGGUGGUGCAAGAGACCACCGGCGUCGGCAGUGAUGUCGGCGGCCAGGCAAACCCCACCGGGAGCAAGACCAGACAGGCGCAGAGGGGUGGCCCGCCCCGCAGGCAGCGCCGGGUAGGUCGCUUGAUCCCGCCAGGCAACUGACGGGACAGAUAGAUGACCGUCGCCCGGCAAGGGGAACAGAAUGCGGCUUACAGGUCAGCCUGGCCU
rnacentral:RNase_P_RNA from 1 species